UUUGAGCACAGCAUUGUUCAAUGAUGGGGCUUCAUGUGGGCAAUGCUACAAGAUCAUAUGUGAUUACCAAUCCGAUUCACAGUGGUGCAAGAAAGGAGCUUCUGUGACCAUCACUGCAACAAACUUUUGCCCUCCAAACUAUGCUCUUCCAAGCAACAAUGGAGGGUGGUGCAACCCACCCCUGCAGCAUUUCGAUAUGGCUCAGCCAGCAUGGGAAAAGAUCGGUAUUUACAGAGGCGGGAUC
rnacentral:lncRNA from 1 species